GGAGUUAGGAAAUGCAGGUUGGUUAAUACCCAACCUGUUUGACAAAGGCCCCAAAGGAGGCCACGGCUAACUCUGUGCCAGCAGCCGCGGUAAUACAGAGGUGGCAAGCGUUGUUCGGUAUUAUUGGGCGUAAAGAGCACGUAGGUGGUUUUGUAAGUCAGAUGUGAAAGCCUUCUGUUCAAAGGAAGAACGGCAUCUGAAACUGCAGAUCUUGAGUGUAGGAGGGGAGAGUGGAACUUCUG
rnacentral:rRNA from 1 species